AGAGUUUGAUCCUGGCUCAGAGCGAACGCUGGCGGCAGGCUUAACACAUGCAAGUCGAGCGGGCGUAGCAAUACGUCAGCGGCAGACGGGUGAGUAACGCGUGGGAACGUACCUUUUGGUUCGGAACAACUGAGGGAAACUUCAGCUAAUACCGGAUAAGCCCUUACGGGGAAAGAUUUAUCGCCGAAAGAUCGGCCCGCGUCUGAUUAGCUAGUUGGUGAGGUAACGGCUCACCAAGGCGACGAUCAGUAGCUGGUCUGAGAGGAUGAUCAGCCACAUUGGGACUGAGACACGGCCCAAACUCCUACGGGAGGCAGCAGUGGGGAAUAUUGGACAAUGGGGGCAACCCUGAUCCAGCCAUGCCGCGUGAGUGAUGAAGGCCCUAGGGUUGUAAAGCUCUUUUGUGCGGGAAGAUAAUGACGGUACCGCAAGAAUAAGCCCCGGCUAACUUCGUGCCAGCAGCCGCGGUAAUACGAAGGGGGCUAGCGUUGCUCGGAAUCACUGGGCGUAAAGGGUGCGUAGGCGGGUCUUUAAGUCAGGGGUGAAAUCCUGGAGCUCAACUCCAGAACUGCCUUUGAUACUGAGGAUCUUGAGUUCGGGAGAGGUGAGUGGAACUGCGAGUGUAGAGGUGAAAUUCGUAGAUAUUCGCAAGAACACCAGUGGCGAAGGCGGCUCACUGGCCCGAUACUGACGCUGAGGCACGAAAGCGUGGGGAGCAAACAGGAUUAGAUACCCUGGUAGUCCACGCCGUAAACGAUGAAUGCCAGCCGUUAGUGGGUUUACUCACUAGUGGCGCAGCUAACGCUUUAAGCAUUCCGCCUGGGGAGUACGGUCGCAAGAUUAAAACUCAAGGAAUUGACGGGGGCCCGCACAAGCGGGGAGCAUGUGGUUUAUUCGACGCAACGCGCAGAACCU
rnacentral:rRNA from 1 species